rnacentral:rRNA from 1 species
CCUACGGGGUGCAGCAGUGGGGAAUAUUGGACAAUGGGCGAAAGCCUGAUCCAGCCAUGCCGCGUGUGUGAAGAAGGCCUUCGGGUUGUAAAGCACUUUCAGUGGGGAAGAAAGCCUUGGGGCUAAUACCCUCGAGGAAGGACAUCACCCACAGAAGAAGCACCGGCUAACUCCGUGCCAGCAGCCGCGGUAAUACGGAGGGUGCGAGCGUUAAUCGGAAUUACUGGGCGUAAAGCGCGCGUAGGCGGUCUGAUAAGCCGGUUGUGAAAGCCCCGGGCUCAACCUGGGAACGGCAUCCGGAACUGUCAGGCUAGAGUGCAGGAGAGGAAGGUAGAAUUCCCGGUGUAGCGGUGAAAUGCGUAGAGAUCGGGAGGAAUACCAGCGGCGAAGGCGGCCUUCUGGACUGACACUGACGCUGAGGUGCGAAAGCGUGGGUAGCAAACAGGAUUAGAUACCCCAGUAGUC